AUCAAUGGUGAACUUUCUCAAUUAGGAAAAUGAGUUAAGACAUGAAAGAAUCCAAAUUAGAGAAACCACUAGAAAGGUCCAGAAUCCAAAUUCUCCUAACUGUGACAAAUGAAAGAUUGACAUAUUCUAGGAGAGAUUGUAAGUCUUGAGCUUUGCUAUGAUUAAGAUACCAAAAGUGAGAUUCCCAGGAAAUACAGUCACCCUGAAGAAAACACAAAAGGAAGACUGGUUAUGUAUACUAAAAUUUCAUCCUUCUGUAAUUACACUUUUUGUUUCUUUGUUUAAUGUUUACAGAAGGCUGAAAUGAGAUGUCUUUUACCCAAAACUUUGCUGGAUAAUGGAUACUUUCCAAUAGGCACCCAAAACAGUGGAGAAAAUAACAAGGGCAAAGUUGACAAAGUUUACAACUAUAGUUGGGGUGGUCAAACAAAGAUGCCAUCUUAUGUAAACAAACUGGUGUUCCCUGAGAUAUGCAUGACUACUUUGAGGACCAUAGUCAUGCAAGAAGAUGAGCUUUUCAAGUUUUCCUGAAUGCUGGAAGAGGAUCAAGUAAUUGGAAUACUAGACUGGGAAUUGUCUACCCUUGGUAACCAAAUGUGUGAUGUUGCAUAUAGCCGUAUGGUAUGUACUAUAUUGUCAUUUUUCUGCAUCAAGACUUUUUGGCAAAUAAAGAUGUGUUAUAAUAAUGCAUUCCACUUACAGUGUGCUUGGUUGGACGGAAAUGGAGGAGGAUAGAAAACAAUCAUUCCUUCUUUCCAAAUUUCAAAAAGAGUGUAGAAAAUUAAGUGAAGGAUCUAUCAAUAAUAAGUGAAUUGAUUUAUGUUAGGGCACCACUCA